rnacentral:lncRNA from 12 species
AAGAGGUAAGAAAAUCCAACUCGUACUGUACAUACAGGAAAUAAAUCUGUGUAAAUCACAAUAUAAAUCCUGACAUUGUGUUUUCUUUUUUAGAAAGCUGCAGUUGAUCUGAGAGAAUGUUCUUCAAAUCACUUUCAGUCAAUGAUUCAGAAUGAGACUUUUUUUUUACCUGAAACACAUCUGAUUAUCUACUAAAAGAUAAGUCAUAAACGAGGUUAAGUGUCUUGUUCAAGUGCAUAAUGAUCACUGUUUUUCAGCUGCUAGAACCAAAAGAUUUAGGCUAAUUCAUCUAACUGAAAUAUUCUUUGUGAAAGCUCAUGUAAGUGUCAGUGUCUAAACCUGAAGAAGUGUCUAUGUUUUAGUCAUUCUGCCCAUGACAGAAUUUAUUGCAAUACUUCUGUGUUUUUCGUUUUGUUUAUUGUUGAUGUUGGUUUAGCACUGCAGCAGUGUGCAAGAAAUGUGUCUGUCACAAAGAAAUGUGUAAAACUAAGAUGCAUGAUAUUGAAUUUUUUAUAUUUUAAAAUGAGCAUACGGUGGUUUUGUAACUGUAAAACACAGCUGAUUUACAUCUCCAGCAGCAAGCUCCAGAAUUUGACCAGCUAAUAUAUAUUUUAACUUUUGCUAUACUUUCGUAAGCUUUGCAUUGUAUUAUCAGGAUGUUCUUGCUGGUCUAUAGAAUAUUAAACAACUGAUGAAAAAUACAGGUACUUUAGGUGCUAGUUAUUCACAAGUAUUAAGCAAAAUAAGCAAAGAUAAGAACAUGAAAAUAAGACUUGAACAAACUGUUAUUUUCACGUUCAACCACUAGAUGGCAGAAUUUAAUUUCAGACCACACUCAUGUCAGUUUUAUGGAACGUACAACAUUCUCAGAAAUAGUCUAUAAACCUCAGUAGAUUUUUCUUUGUCAGUGUUUGUAAUAAUUGUUAUACUCAGUCCAGUGACAGAGAUGGGCUAUACAAUAAGUAGGCUACACAAAUAUUUUAAAUGUUCUAUAUGGGGCACAACCUAAGAUGAUACAACUUGACAAAAACAAAAACAAAACCACUUGACUUGCAGGACGGGUUGCCAGUUUGCAGAAAACACAGCAUGCUGCAGCCAGGGAAUAUUAUGAUGUCAAGGCUAUUUACUGAUGUUUAAUCAUACAUGAACUUCCCAAAAACAAGAUGAUAACCUACCUAGGCUAUGCUAAUUAACGAGUCAGCCAGGGCCCCUCCCACCCCAGGUUCAGUUUGUCCCCCCUCCACCUCCAAAAUGCAAUCAGUUUUAACAAAUUAAUUCACACAUAUUUGACAAUCAGGAAAGGCUGUAUCAUAUAGUUCAUGAUGUAGGCUAGUUAACAAGUUUGUGGAUAUUUCGAAUAAAAAAGGAAAAUCUAAAUAAAAGUCAUACAUCUCUCAUACAGCGCUGUUGUGCCUGCAUGAUGCGUCAGUAUAGAAAUAAUAAGAUUAUUAUCAGGUAUAAAUGAUUUAAAUAUUUAAUAUUGCUUUUUUUCAUGUACUCUUGGGGGGCCCCUGGUGGCCACAGGGGGCCCUAAGCAGCCGCUUAGUUGGCUUAUGCCUUGCGCCGGCUCUGAGAUUCCCCCAUAAUCAGGAUUAUCGUCUGCUUUAAACACAUUCUCCUCUAUGCCACUUUCACUGUCAAAAACCUGUGACAAAAUCUCAUUGACAGAGAUUCUCCUUGUUUAGAGGCCAUUUUCAACUGAGAGAGAAAGCGUAAAGAGAGAG